rnacentral:lncRNA from 1 species
GUAUAAGCAGCUGAGCGGCCCAUGCUGCUGCUCUGUCUAUGGAGCAGCCAUUCCUUUAUUCCUUCACUUUCUUUGUUUUUUGUUUUUUGUUUUGUUUUUUUGUUUGUUUUGAGACAGAGUCUCACUGUGACACCUAGUUUGGACUGCAAUGGCGCGAUCUUGGCUCACUGAAACCUCCGCUUCCCAGGUUCAAACGAUUCUCCUGCCUCAGCCUUCCGAGUAGCUGGGACUACAGGAAACCAGCUGUCAGGCCUCCCAGAUAGUAUCAGAAAGCUGAAGAUUUCCAGAUCGCUGCAUCCUAACAGCAAGGUGCCAGAACCCUGAUUCAACUACCUACUGCCUGUUGAGCAACUCCUACAUAAACUCCUAACUUUAUUGGUUACAGAGACAGAUUUUAGACUUGUCUCCCAUAUCCUGGCUGGCAUCACCAGCAAUAAAGCCUUUCUUCCUGGCAGUACUUGUUGUCUCAGUGAUUGGCUUUCUGUGUGGUGAGCAAUCAGACCUAAGCUGAAUCCCUGGCAUUCACCAACACAUAAAUGUGCAGUUCUGUUUCUGGACUCUCUCUUCUGCUUCAUUGAUCUGUUUUUCUAACUUUAUGCCAAAAUUGCACUAGUUUGAUUACUGUUCCUUUAUAAUAAGCUUUGAAAUAAUGUCAUAUUAGGCCUCCAACUUUGUUCUUCUUUUUGAAAACUGUUUUGGCUAUUUUAGGUCCUUGCAUUUCCAUAAAAGUAUUAGAAUCAGCUUAUCAAUUUCUCCAAAAAAAAAAAAAAAAGCCUACUGAGAUUUUGAUUGGGAUUGCACUGGAUUUAUAGACCAUUUUGGGGAGAACUGACAUCUUAACAAUAUUGAGUCUUCCUCCCAUGAACAAAGUAUAUUUCUUUAUUUGUUUAGGUCUUCUUUAAUUUUUCUCAACGAUGUUGUAUGGUUUUCAGUAUAUAGAUCUUUCAGAGUUUUGUCAGAUUAAUUCUUAAGUAUUUAAUAUUUUUGACCUAAUUGUAAAAGGUAUUAUUUCUUUCCGUUUCAAUUGCCAAUGGGUUAUUGCUAAUAUAUAGAAAUGCAAUUGAUUUUGCCUAUAACUUUGCUAAUAGUUCUAGUAGCUUUUUCAUGUGAAUUCCAUUGGCUAGUCUACAUAGCUCACUGACGCUCUGUUCAUUAAAAGAAUUUUUUCCCUCUGAGUUUCCUUUUAGGUAGCGUCUUUUGCUAUGAUUUCAAUUUCACUUUUUUCCCCUUCUUCAAUAGCUAAUCUGCUACUAAUCCUAUAGUGUUUUUUUCAUCUCAAUAUUGAACUUUCCAUCUGUAGAUGAUUUGAGUCUUUUCUAAAUCUUCCAUGUCUCUAUUUGACCUUUUAAACAUAUAGAAUACAGCUAUAGUAACUGUUUUAAUGUCCUUUUCUGUUUAUUCUACUGUCUGUGUCAGUUCUGGUUUGAUUUCAGUUUAUUGAUUAUUCUCUUCAUUAUGGCUAGUGUUUACCUCCUUCUUUUCAUGAUGAGUAAUUUUUUAUUUGAUGCCAGCCACUAUAAUUUUAUCUUGUUGGGUCUUGGGUUCUUUGCAAUCUUAUAAGUGUUCUUCAGCUUUGUUCUGCAAUACAGUUAAGAUACUUGGCAACACUUGAAUACUUAAAGUCUUGCUUUUAAGAUUUUUUAGGUGGUACUACAGCAGUGCUCAGUUUAGGCAUAAUUAUUCCCCACUACUAAGUUAAGACCCUUCUGUGUACUCUAUUUAUUGCUUCAUGAAUCAUGGUCUUAAAUGUGGCUGGUAAGAAUAGGUACUAUUUCUAGCUGUGUCCGAGUAUCAGACAUUGUUUCUUCUAAUCCACUCAGGUGGUUCUUUUGGCCUUGGGUAAUUUUCUGUCAUGCAUGCACAAAUCAAUACUCAGAAGAAUACUUAAGGAGGUCCCUCUGCAAAACCCUAGAACUCUGUGUGCACAAAUCUCUCCUCUCUGGGAACCUGCUUGUGAGUUCUCACUGCUGUGGUUUUUCCAACCUUCAACUCUGUCUCCCCAACUCAGGGAGGCCUUGGGGCUCCACCAGGGUUCCCUCUCCCUAUAUCUUAGCCUCAAAACUCUUUCACAGUAGUAAAUUUUGGCCACUGUAUGGAUGACAUUAUUUAUGUCUCAUCUCUUAAGUAUCAAAGUAUCAUUAUCCUUAAUUGCCUGGUGUCCAGUACCUUAAAAUUGCUAUUUAAUAUAUUUUGCUUUUUUUUUUUUUUCAGGGAGGAGGGUAAAUCCAAUCCAUCUUGAAUGAGCAUAUGUAUUAGUUUUUAUGCUCCUGAUAAAGACAUAGCUGAGGCUGAGCAAUUUACAAAAGAAAGAGGUUUAAUAGACUUAUAGUUCCUUAUGGCUGGGGAGGCCUCACAAUCAUGGCGGAAGGCAAGAAGGAGCAGGUCACAUCUUACGUGGAUGGCAGUAGGCAAAGAGUUUGUGCAGAGAAACUCACAUUUUAAAACCAUCAGAUCUCCUGAGACCCACGAGAACAGCACAAGAAACAGCACGGGAAAGACGUGCCCCCAUGAUUCAACCAUCUCCCACUGGGUCCCUCCAACAACAUGUGGGAAUUAUGGGAGCUACAAGAUGAGAUUUCGGUGGGGACACAGAGCCAAACCAUAUCAGGGUAGAAUGGUAUUAAAGAAAAAGAUUUUCUUACACUUAUUAAGGCAGUAAGAAAGAUUUAUUCAAGAUUAUUGCAAUAGGUAUCAAGACUGUGCAAUAGGAGACAGGAAAUGGUUGAGCUCAACUCUGAAUACAGCAAAAACCACUGGAGGUUUUUAGCCAGUGAGCAGAAUGGGAGGAGAAGAGUCAGUGGAUGGAAAAUUACUAAGAGGAGAAAUCAAAGGUGGGAGGAUUUUCCCUAAACUGACUUAGCAGGACUCUUGUUACAAUUGGACUAGGCAGGCUGAAGACAGGAUGCAAGGACAAAGCUUGUUGAAAAGAGGCCUCAGAGGAGCUCAUCUAAAAUUUGGUCAAGGGGAGGGUCUUUCUUGGUCCCUCCUCUUGUUCAAGGGAAAAAGAGACAUUCUUCUUUCCUUUGAACAAUAUAAGUCAAUUUCUCAUUUGGUGGCCUUUUUUUCAUUAAGGACAAGCUGAGCCCCCUGCUGAAACUUGGUAGCAGGGCAGCCAGUUGAGAAGAUUUCUAGAUGUCAAGGCAUCUUUAGAUGAUGGGGUGAGGACUGCAGUGGCCAUCCCAGAUCAUGGAUUUUCUGGUUUGCAGUUUGAAUGUCCUUGGUGAUGGCAUAGACAUCAGUGUCACAGUCAUGGUUAUUUUUCCGAGCAGAGUGUAGAAGUGUCCAACUUCAUCUUGAAGGGCUUCUUUAGACAGUCACAAUAAAGAUCUGGGAAGUUAGGUUUUAGUUCUCAGUGAUGCCAAAUCAGGACAGUGGGAGAAAAAUUAAAAACCUCAGUUUGGAGAGUGGUAGCCAGAUAGUAAAGGGAACUAGAAGAACUGAGAAUUUGGUAAGGACUGACAAGCUGUGCAUGAUGACAGGAUCCCGUUCAAUUUACAAGUAGAUAACAAAACCUGAAAGACAAGUACAGGACCAGAAUAAUAACCCAUAAGAAGGUGCUAUAGUUUUUAUAAAAUAUCUUUCUACAGUCAUCCCCCUUUUUUGAUCCAAAUUAACCAAAGUAAGAUUAUUCUUGUUUACAAAAUAAGUCUUGUCUCAUUAUAUUUGACUUACUUAUUUGCAUAAUUGCAGCAAGAAUGGCAACUGACCAGGUAGGCUUAUUUAAGUUUGCAUUGCUGGAACUUUUUACAAGUAAUCUCAGAUUAUGCUUUCAAGAGUUCUUGAAGCUAUAAAGCCAAGUCAAGCACCACCAGGCCUUAUCUGCAAUGCCUAGAGAUUCAGAUGGGUUCUUCUCUUCUUGAGGUCCUAAAAACAUCCUGAGUUUCUUUGGCCUGCCAGAAAGUCACCUUCCUGACUCACCUGUAAGGCUGGGAACUCCAUAAUCCAGGUACCAGGCAGACUUUCCGGGAGGGCUUCAUAUGCAUUGGCUCCAUAAAGUUAACCUUAGUUCCUCAAAACUGUCUGUUCAUAUGUGAUUUUAUGUCUUAUUCUCAGUUGGAAAUGCAGAAAUCACCUGUCUUCUGCGUCGAUCAGGCUGGGAGCUGCAGACCGGAGCUGUUCCUAUUCGGCCAUCUUGGAAUGGACCCCCAUGUCUUAUUCUCAAAUAAAACAUUUUGGUCAAAGCCUUGAUUAUCUAAUCAAUUUUUAAAAUUAUGUUCUGUUACAAAAAGGACAGAUUCUUAUCGAACCCAUAUAAAAUAGUAUAUCACCAUUGAUACGGUUUGGAUCUGUGUCCCCACUCAAAUCUGAUGUUCAAUUGUAAUCUCCCAGUGUUAGAGGUGAGGCCUAGGGGG